GCGGCGGAGCAUGCGGAUUAAUUCGAUGCAACGCGAAGAACCUUACCAAGGCUUGACAUGCACCGGAAACCGCCAGAGAUGGUGGCUCCGUAAGGCUGGUGCACAGGUGGUGCAUGGUUGUCGUCAGCUCGUGUCGUGAGAUGUUGGGUUAAGUCCCGCAACGAGCGCAACCCUCGUCCCAUGUUGCCAGCGGGUGAUGCCGGGGACUCAUGGGAGACUGCCGGGGUCAACUCGGAGGAAGGUGGGGAUGACGUCAAAUCAUCAUGCCCCUUAUGUCUUGGGCUUCACGCAUGCUACAAUGGCCGGUACAGAGGGUUGCGAUGCCGUGAGGCGGAGCGAAUCCCAAAAAGCCGGUCUCAGUUCGGAUUGGGGUCUGCAACUCGACCCCAUGAAGUCGGAGUCGCUAGUAAUCGCAGAUCAGCAACGCUGCGGUGAAUACGUUCCCGGGCCUU
rnacentral:rRNA from 1 species